UACAGAGGUCUCAAGCGUUGUUCGGAAUCACUGGGCGUAAAGGGUGCGUAGGUGGCGUUGUAAGUCAGAUGUGAAAUCCCGGGGCUCACCCUCGGAACUGCAUCCGAUACUGCAAUGCUAGAGAACUGGAGGGGAGUCUAGAAUUCACGGUGUAGCAGUGAAAUGCGUAGAUAUCGUGAGGAAUACCAAAGGCGAAGGCCGGACUCUGGACAGUUUCUGACACUGAGGCACGAAGGCUAGGGGAGCGAACGGG
rnacentral:rRNA from 1 species